GCGCAUAUGUCCGCAGAUUAUUGGCACGAGUGUCGCAGGAUGAUGUGUUUGCUGCAGAUGCCAUUUGAAAAUAUAGGCAGUGUAAGCACUGUAGAAUCUAAUUAUUUCUUUGCAAAACCUAAUUAGGCAUUAAAAAAGGUUAACGCCAGCGCCUGAAACGUUUUUGUUUAAUAAUCCCAUUACUGACGGCUCAUCAUGUAUAAAAUGGUGCAGGAGGACACUAAGUUUCCACUUGUUAAAGGGAAUCUCUGAGAAAUAGUCGCAGAUUUUUGACACUAUCUGCGAUUGGAAAUUAGGGCUUGUAAUUAAACUGCGGAGACUCAGCACAGCACAGAAACUCUCCGAACGAUAGCAUACACUGAGACUAGACCUUGAUGAUUUUUUUAGGUGUCAGCUCCUCUCGGACCAUUACCAGUCACUAGAGAGCUCAAGAAAUGUGAGACUACGGGGACGUUAAUGAUACCAGUAUAAGUCCCGCAUUGCUGCUGGGUGGAUGAGAACCAGCUGAGGAAGCUUUCUAAAGAGCUUCCUGGAAGGCUGUGAUUGGCCGUCUGUCUGGGCAGUGAUAGCAGCCCUGGAGCCGAGGAUGAUUGAUGAUGGCGAGGGCAAGGCCGAGCGCUAGCAGCAUAAAGCCCCAUAGAUGCCUCAAUAAAGAGCCUGGCUAGUGGAGAGCCUGGGCCCCGCUCAAUAGGGCCCCUCCGCCUCUAAGGACCCACGGCUAGAAGAGUGCAUGGAGAGAGGGAGAGGAAGAGAGGGAGAAGGAGAGGUGCUCUGUUGUUGGAUAAUCUGUUUAGCUAUCGAGCCAGCAGCCGUCUGAGGCUGGAUAAGUGCAGCGACGGAUGUGUGUGGGGUGAAAAUAGCAGGGGUUGGCUGGUGGAGUGCUGGAGGGGAGAUACAGGGAAAGAGAGAGAGGGAAAAACAGAGCGAGAGAUGGAUCAUCCAGUCUCAGCAUGCAUAAUGGAAAAAAGGGAAGCGGAUGAACCAAACUGGAAAUGAGAUCUGCAGGCUGCUUUUCACACACACAUACACGCACACUAUAAAUGAUCAAAAGCCGAAAAAGUUGACCACAAGAAAGUGACUGGAGACUUAAACUGAGUGAUCUGACCUCAAUGCUGCCACUCUGGUGGCCAUUAUUCAGCCUACAGAUGCAUAACUGUGGUGACCUUUGCUUCAGCAAAUCAAUGAGACCCUGCUAGGUUGGAUUCCUUCGGUGCUGCGUCCACUGCUGUGGCCCCAUGCAGCCCUGUUGCAACCCCUAGUUCACAGCAACUCUGAAAAGCACAAUUAGGCAAUAAUCUGCUCCUACCAAGCCAGCUUUCAGUGACUCCAACAUGGCUACACGAUGUCCUGCAGACCCUCCUGGCUGGAGUUGAGAGAAUGGACUGUUGGCCUGAUGACUGUUGGCCUGAUGAGGGUCUGGAAAGAUCAAAGUUGUAUGGAAAUGCUUUCCAGAGCUUGGGCUAAUCAGGACAAAUAUAUAAAAAAGUUUGCUAUCAAUUUACAAAUAAAUGAAAGUUUCAUAACAGUUGCGGCCUGUUUUGAAUGCGCUUCUCCCAACAAUACUUUGCACAGAUUUUAACUCAUUCAGAUCUGCAUUUUCUUCAGUUGGAUUUGUUCCGCAUGUUAAUGGACAUCUUUGUGUUAACGGAUUCUGAAAAUAAAUCUGCCAAAGUUUUCACCAACUA